UACGAAGGGGGCUCGCGUUGCUCGGAAUCACUGGGCGUAAAGCGCACGUAGGCGGAUUGUUAAGUCAGGGGUGAAAUCCUGGAGCUCAACUCCAGAACUGCCUUUGAUACUGGCGAUCUCGAGUCCGGGAGAGGUGAGUGGAACUGCGAGUGUAGAGGUGAAAUUCGUAGAUAUUCGCAAGAACACCAGUGGCGAAGGCGGCUCACUGGCCCGGUACUGACGCUGAGGUGCGAAAGCGUGGGGAGCAAACAGG
rnacentral:rRNA from 1 species